rfam:Otolemur garnettii contig076295, whole genome shotgun sequence.
GCUGGGUGUUGUGGCGGCGCCUGUAGUCCCAGCUACUUGGGAGGCGGAGGCAGGAGAAUCACUUGAGCCCAGGAGUUGGAGAUUGCUGUGAGCUGUGAUGUCACAGCACUCUACUGAGGGUGAUAGCUUGAGGCUUUGUCUCAAAAAAAAAAAAAAGACAACUAUUGGCAAAAUAGAUUUUUUUUUUUGAGACAGAGCCUCAAGCUAUCCCCCUGGGUAGAGUGCCGUGGCAUCAUUCACAGCAAUCUCCAACUCCUGGGCUCAAGGGAGUCUCCUGCCUCCG